rnacentral:tRNA from 1 species
GCCGGUUUGGCUCAGUGGAUAGAGCAUCAGUCUGCAGACUAAAGGGGCCUGGGUCUGAUUCCAGUCAAGGGCACAUGCUGGUUCGAGUCCAGUCAAGGGCA